UACCCUGGGACUAUUUGGAGUAUCUGGCUGUUUUGAUUACACUUCCCAGUGCUUUCCGGCUAUACAAGAACCAAGGCAGAUGGACCCCAUCAUAUCCUGCGAUAACAUUCACAAGACGUACCUCCUCGGCGUCGAGGGUGUACCGGCGCUGCGUGGCGUGGAUGUGGACAUAAACCCUGGCGAACUUCUCGUGGUGUACGGCACGAGCGGCGGUGGUAAGAGCACGCUCCUCAACGUUCUCGGGACAAUUGACACCCCGACAAAGGGAAAUAUGUUUCUUUUUGGAAAACGUGUGACGGAUCAAACGCCAGACUCAGAGCUAGCAGCGAUGCGCUGCAAGCGCAUCGGGUUUGUCUUUCAGUCGUUCAACCUGAUCUCCACCAUGGAUGCACUGGGCAAUGUGUCGCUGCCGAUGAUGAUCAAAGGUUCGCUAUCAGCGUCGGACAUCAAAAAGCGUGCCACCGCACUCCUCGAGGAGGUUGGUCUCGGGCAUAGGCUGCACCACUUUCCAUCAAUGCUCUCUGGUGGUGAGCAGCAGCGCGUGACGAUUGCCCGGGCUCUUGCCAAUGAGCCGGAGAUCUUGUUUCUCGAUGAGCCUACAGGUGACCUGGACACAAAGAAUACUCUCAUCAUCAUGAACAUUCUUAUGCGGCUGAACCGUGAGCAUGGUCUCACGAUGGUGAUGGUGACUCAUGAUGUGUACAUGAAACAGUACGCCCAUCGCGUCAUUUACAUCCGCGAUGGCAAAGUGAGCACCACCGAAACUGUCCACAGUAAUGUUCGCGAACGAGCUUGGAAUGAGCUGCAGAAGUCCCUGCGCAAGGCAAGCACCGGGACAGGGGAACAGAAGACACCUACCAGCGAGCAGCGCACCCCUCAGGACUACGCCACAUUCUCAGCGCAAGGUCCGCUGAAUCUGGAUGAGGACCCAGAAAUGCAGCAGGUGGUCGAUGUGCUUUUCGGGCCUCAGCAGGGCCGAGUCUGAAAAGGCGAGGCAACGCCCUCUCUUCCUUUUUUUUCUAUAUCUCCCUGCCUCUCUAUUUCAUCUUUGUUGUUUGUUUGCACUGCUCUCGUUCAGUUUUCUUUUCCUUUUUUGUGCUGCUACGAGGUGGACGUCCUGUAGUUCUCUGCGUUUCGCUUUUGUUCUCGUUGUCUCUCAGCUUUUCAAAGUGCUUUUCGCUUGCUAGUUAUCUUUUUCCAGUGAAAACACCCUUUUAGCAUGGCGCUGGUUUUCUGAUUCGAAAAAAAG
rnacentral:misc_RNA from 1 species